UCCCUGAUGGCUUAGCAGGUAAAGAAGCUGCCUGCAAUGCAGGAGAUUCAGGUUUGAACCCUGGGUCGGGAA
rnacentral:tRNA from 1 species